rnacentral:lncRNA from 1 species
AAGUCAUCCGUUGUAUUGUUACAUGUAAGGCAACAUCUAUUAAAUUUCUUGUUAGUUUUGUAUAUGGUUUUCAUACAAUUGUUAGUAGAAGACCUCUUUGGACAAUAUCGAUAAGUUUGGAGUGGAUUGUUCUAUGCCUUGGUUGAUCUUGGGUGAUUUCAACAAUGUUCUUAACUUUGAUGAGAGAAGUAAUGGAGCCGAUGUGACCCCAUAUGAGAUAAGGACUUUGUGGAUUGUUGCGUCAAUGUUGGACUUAUGGAUUUGAGAUCCAUUGGAUGGUUUUACACUUGGUCCAACAAUUCUAAAUGGUGUAAACUUGACAGAGCCAUGGUAAAUGAUGUUUGGAUGCAUAUGGGUUUUUUUAGUUUUGCGGAGUUUCUACCUUCGGGAUGCCUUUCAGAUCAUUCACCGUGUAUUGUUUCUAUUUUUGAAUGUGAUGAAGGGAAAAGGAAACCUUUUAGAUUCUUUAAAUGUGGACUAAACAAGAGAACUUCCAUGAUCUUGUGCUUAAUGUUUGGAAUAUUGAGAUACAGGGUACUAAACAAUUUCCUCUUUGCAAAAAAUUGCAAUGGCUUAAAGGAGUACUCAAAGAGCUUAAUGUUAAGCAUUAUGGGCAUAUAUCUUCAAGAGCCGAGGUAGUCACUAAAGCUUUGAAGGAAUCCCAGCUGGUUUUACAUGAUGAUCCCACAAACCCUCAUGUGCAAAAUGAGGUUGCAAGUUUAAGGAAAGAAGCUAUGUUUCUUUGUGAAGCUGGGAGAAGUUUUUACUUCCAACAGGCAAAGUGCGCAUGCUUGAAGAAUAGUGAUAAAUGCACAAAGUUUUUUCACUCUGUUGUGAAGAGAAAUACCAAAAGAAACUUCAUUGUUGCUGUUCAAAAGAGGGAUGGUUCAUAUACUUCAUCACAAAAAGAAGUUGUUGAUGAAUUCAUUCAUGUUUAUAAUGAGUUGUGGGGAAAAGAUAGCAUUGGUCAGCCUUUUGAAGCUAGAAAUUUGAGGUUUGGACCUCUGUUACCCGAUGAGCAUGCUACUUCACUUAUAUGGGAUAUUUCUAGGCAAGAAAUAAAGGAUGCACUUUUUAGCAUUGGUGAUGAAAAAUCGCCGAGGUCGGAUGGUUAUUCCUCUUUACUUCUCAAAGAGGCUUGGAAUAUUGUUGGCAAUGAAUUUAUG